GACGAACGCUGGCGGCGUGCUUAACACAUGCAAGUCGAACGGGCCCGCCCCUGUUUUUGGGGGUGGGUUGAGUGGCGAACGGGUGAGUAUCACGUGAGUAACCUGCCCCCUGCUCCUGGAUAACUGCUUGAAAGGGCGGCUAAUACGGGGUGUGCCGGCUGGUCCGCAUGGGCCUGGUCGGGAUAGUUUCAUCUUCGGGUGUUUCGGUGGGGGAUGGGCUCGCGGCCUAUCAGCUUGUUGGUGGGGUGAUGGCCCACCAAGGCGGUGACGGGUAGCCGGCCUGAGAGGGUGGGCGGCCACACUGGGACUGAGACACGGCCCAGACUCCUGCGGGAGGCAGCGGUGGGGGGGAUUGCACAAUGGGCGGAAGCCGGAUGCAGCGACGUCGCGUGAGGGAUGGAGGCGUUCGGGUUGUGAACCUCUUUCUCCGGUGGUGAAGGCCCUGUCCGUUGCGGCGGGGUUGACGGUAGCCGGGUAUGAAGCGCCGGCUAACUACGUG
rnacentral:rRNA from 1 species